rnacentral:rRNA from 1 species
UACUCCUACGGGAGGCAGCAGUAGGGAAUCUUCGGCAAUGGACGGAAGUCUGACCGAGCAGCGCCGCGUGAGUGAAGAAGGUUUUCGGAUCGUAAAGCUCUGUUGUAAGAGAAGAACGAGUGUGAGAGUGGAAAGUUCACACUGUGACGGUAUCUUACCAGAAAGGGACGGCUAACUACGUGCCAGCAGCCGCGGUAAUACGUAGGUCCCGAGCGUUAUCCGGAUUUAUUGGGCGUAAAGCGAGCGCAGGCGGUUAGAUAAGUCUGAAGUUAAAGGCUGUGGCUUAACCAUAGUACGCUUUGGAAACUGUUUAACUUGAGUGCAAGAGGGGAGAGUGGAAUUCCAUGUGUAGCGGUGAAAUGCGUAGAUAUAUGGAGGAACACCGGUGGCGAAAGCGGCUCUCUGGCUUGUAACUGACGCUGAGGCUCGAAAGCGUGGGGAGCAAACAGGAUUAGAUACCCUGGUAGUCCACGCCGUAAACGAUGAGUGCUAGGUGUUAGACCCUUUCCGGGGUUUAGUGCCGUAGCUAACGCAUUAAGCACUCCGCCUGGGGAGUACGACCGCAAGGUUGAAACUCAAAGGAAUUGACGGA